rnacentral:rRNA from 1 species
AGUCGAGCGAGCAAUUUUAACGGAAUACCUUCGGGUAGGAAGAUAAAAGCGCGAGCGGCGGAUGGGUGAGUAACACGUGGGCAACCUGCCCUUUAGCUUGGGAUACCACUUGGAAACAGGUGCUAAUACCAAAUAAGAAGCAAGAGCGCAUGCUCAAGCUAUGAAAGGCGGCUUUCGAGCUGUCACUAAAGGAUGGGCCCGCGGUGCAUUAGCUAGUUGGUAAGGUAACGGCUUACCAAGGCAAUGAUGCAUAGCCGGGUUGAGAGACUGAUCGGCCACAUUGGGACUGAGACACGGCCCAAACUCCUACGGGAGGCAGCAGUAGGGAAUCUUCCACAAUGGACGCAAGUCUGAUGGAGCAACGCCGCGUGAGUGAAGAAGGUUUUCGGAUCGUAAAGCUCUGUUGUUGGUGAAGAAGGAUAAGGAUAGUAACUGAUUCUUAUUUGACGGUAAUCAACCAGAAAGUCACGGCUAACUACGUGCCAGCAGCCGCGGUAAUACGUAGGUGGCAAGCGCUGUCCGGAUUUAUUGGGCGUAAAGCGAACGCAGGCGGGAGAACAAGUCAGCUGUGAAAGCCCUCGGCUUAACCGGGGAAGUGCAGCUGAAACUGUUUUUCUUGAGUGCAGAAGAGGAGAGUGGAACUCCAUGUGUAGCGGUGGAAUGCGUAGAUAUAUGGAAGAACACCAGUGGCGAAGGCGGCUCUCUGGUCUGUAACUGACGCUGAGGUUCGAAAGCAUGGGUAGCGAACAGGAUUAGAUACCCUGGUAGUCCAUGCCGUAAACGAUGAGUGCUAAGUGUUGGGGGGUUUCCGCCUCUCAGUGCUGCAGCUAACGCAUUAAGCACUCCGCCUGGGGAGUACGACCGCAAGGUUAAAACUCAAAGGAAUUGAC